GACGAACGCUGGCGGCGUGGAUUAGGCAUGCAAGUCGAACGGUAUCAUCCUUUCGGGGGUGAGAGAGUGGCGAACUGGUGAGUAACACGUAGGUUAUCUACCCUCAAGACGGGGACAACCCAGGGAAACUUGGGCUAAUACCGGAUGUGAGCAACUUUUAGUUGUUUGAAAGGUGGCGUAAGCUGUCGCUUGGGGAUGAGCCUGCGUCCUAUUAGUUAGUUGGUGAGGUAACGGCUCACCUAGGCAAUGAUAGGUAGGCGGCCUUAACGGGUGGUCGCCCACACUGGGAUUGAGAUACGGCCCAGACUCCUACGGGAGGCAGCAGUCGAGAAUAGUCUACAAUGGUCGGAAGACUGAUAGUGCGACGCCGCGUGAACGAUGAAUCCCUUCGGGGUGUAAAGGUCUUUUACAGGGGAAGAAGGAUGUGACGGUACCCUGUGAAUAAGCCCCGGCUAACUACGUG
rnacentral:rRNA from 1 species